GGAAUCUUCCACAAUGGACGAAAGUCUGAUGGAGCAACGCCGCGUGAGUGAAGAAGGGUUUCGGCUCGUAAAACUCUGUUGUUAAAGAAGAACAUAUCUGAGAGUAACUGUUCAGGUAUUGACGGUAUUUAACCAGAAAGCCACGGCUAACUACGUGCCCG
rnacentral:rRNA from 1 species